AGAGUUUGAUCAUGGCUCAGGAUGAACGCUAGCGGUAGGCCUUAACACAUGCAAGUCGAACGAAAAAUUAUAUUUUUAGUGGCGCACGGGUGAGUAAUACGUGAGAAUCUAACUUUAGGAAGAGGAUAGCAUUUAGAAAUAUUUGCUAAUACUCUAUAAAGUCGCUUAAUUUAAUCGGAAGUUAUAAAAAACUAAAGAAAGGUUAAGUAUUGACUAAAGAAGAAAUUCGCCUAAAAAAGAGCUUACGCCUGAUUAGCUGGUUGGUAAGGUAAUGGCUUACCAAGGCGAUGAUCAGUAGCUGAUUUGGGAGAAUGAUCAGCCACACUGGAAUUGAAAUACGGUCCAGACUCCUACGGGAGGCAGCAGUGGGGAAUAUUCUGCAAUGGGCGAAAGCUUGACAGAGCAAUACCGCGUGAGGGAUGAAGGCUUACGAGUUGUAAACCUCUUUAUCAAGGAAGAAGUUAUGACGCUACUUGAAAAUAAAGCAUCGGGUAACUUUGUGCCAGCAGCCGCGGCGAUACAGGGGAUGCAAGCGUUAUCCAAAUUUAUUGGGCGUAAAGCGUCUGUAGGUGGACAUUUACGUCUUUAAUUAAAAAUUCUAUAACUUAAUUUAGAUUAUAUUAAAGAGACUAUUUGUCUAGAGUAAUUUUGUAGGGGUAAAGGGAAUUUUCAGUGUAGCGGUGAAAUGCCUCGAUAUUGAAAGGAACACCGAGGGCGAAAGCACUUUACUAGAUAAUUACUGACACUAAGAGACGAAAGCUGGGGGAGCAAACAGGAUUAGAUACCCUAGUAGUCC
rnacentral:rRNA from 1 species